rnacentral:lncRNA from 1 species
UUUGAUUAGACACGUGAUAAUCGUAGAAAGAUUUAUAUUCAACCGUCAUGUCAAGAAACGACGGUCAAGUCAAAGACUUUGAUCAUAUGAGAAUCAGCUGCUGAACUUGAAUCACUUGCCUUGAGCAGUAAAAGCCUGGAACGAUCCAUUCGAAAAGGUUUAGUGUUGUCUAAGCAAUGACUCAAAUAGCGGCCACGAGAUCUUGGGGAUUUCGUUAUUUAAUCUUAUAUAUAGUGCCAUAUUUUCAAUUGUGUAACGGUUGAAUUAGGCGAGAAUAACAAAAACAAUUACUACUAACCCAUCCUAUAUAUUUCGUCAUUCCUUAUCAUUGUAUUUAAUUUAAUC